CUUGUGGUGUGACCGCGUGCCUUUUGCAUAAUGAGUCAGCGAGUUAAUCUGUACUGCAAGGUUAAGCGUAAGUGGAGCCGUAGCGAAAGCGAGUCUGAUAAGGGCGUUUAGUAGUGCGGAUUAGACCCGAAACCGGGUGAUCUAUCCAUGAGCAGGUUGAAGCAAGGGUAAAACCUUGUGGAGGACCGAACCAUUAACGGCUGAAAACGUUUUGGAUGACUUGUGGAUAGGGGUGAAAGGCCAAUCAAACCCGGUGAUAGCUGGUUCUCCCCGAAAUAUAUUGAGGUAUAGCCUCAUGGAUUGUCUACCGGAGGUAAAGCACUGACAGAGCUAGGGGUCCUACCAGAUUACCAAACUCUUUCAAACUCAGAAUGCCGGUCAGAUGUACCAUGGGAGUCAGACAGUGGGUGCUAAGGUCCAUUGUCGAGAGGGUAAGAGCCCAGAUCAACAGCUAAGGUCUCCAAAUCUAUGCUCAGUGGUUAAGGUGGUGACGUUGUAGAGACACCCAGGACGUUGGCUUAGAAGCAGCCAUCGUUUAAAGAAAGCGUAAUAGCUCACUGGUCUAAUGGCUCUGCGCCGAAAAUGUAACGGGGCUAAGCAUGGUACCGAAGCUUUGGCAAUCUUCUUUGAAGAUUGGGUAGGGGAGCGUUCGCUGCGGGCUGAAGGUGUGCCGGAAGGCAUGCUGGACUGCAGUGAAGUGAUUAUGCUGACAUGAGUAACGAUAAAAUAUGUGAAAAACAUAUUCGCCGAAAACCCGAGGUUUCCUGGGUAAAGGUAAUCUUCCCAGGGUUAGUCGGAUCCUAAGGUGAGGGUGAAAGCCGUAACCGAUGGAAAACAGGUUAAUAUUCCUGUACUUGUUGUGUAGCGCGAUGGAGGGACGCAGGAAGAUAGGCGGGCCGGGUGUUGGAUAUCCCGGUGCAAGCGUGUAGGAAUAUCCGGUAGGCAAAUCCGCCGGACGAAUCUGAGACGCGAGUCCGUGGGCGCAAGCCCUGAAGCCGUUGAGUCUAUGCUGCCUAGAAAAGCUCCUAAGUUUAUCCACAGCAAUCCGUACCGCAAACCAACUCAGGUGGGUGGGAUGAACAAUCCAAGGCGCUCGAGAGAACUCUGGCCAAGGAACUCGGCAAAAUAACCCCGUAACUUCGGAAGAAGGGGUGCUCUCUAGGGUGACAUGUUUAACAUAUGAAGCCCCGGGGAGCCGCAGUGAAUUGGUGGUGGCGACUGUUUACUAAAAACAUAGGUCUGUGCGAAGUCCUAAAGACGACGUAUACGGACUGACGCCUGCCCGGUGCUGGAAGGUUAAAAGGAGGGGUCAGCGCAAGCAAAGCUCCGAAUUGAAGCCCCAGUAAACGGCGGCCGUAACUAUAACGGUCCUAAGGUAGCGAAAUUCCUUGUCGGGUAAGUUCCGACCUGCACGAAUGGCGUAACGAUCUCCACACUGUCUCGGCCAGAGACUCGGUGAAAUUGCAGUCGCGGUGAAAAUUCCGUGUACCCGCAGAAAGACGGAAAGACCCUGUGCACCUUUACUAUAGCUUGACAUUGGAUUUUGGGCCUGCAUGUGUAGGAUAGGUGGGAGGCUGUGAACCCUGUACGCCAGUAUGGGGGGAGCCAUCCUUGAAAUACCACCCUUGCAUGUUUAAGAUCCUAACUUCUUCCGGUUAUCCCGGAGAAAGACAGUGUCUGGCGGGUAGUUUGACUGGGGCGGUCGCCUCCUAAAGUGUAACGGAGGCAUGCAAAGGUUCCCUCAGCCUGAUCGGAAACCAGGCGCUGAGUGCAAACGCAUAAGGGAGCUUGACUGUAAGAGAGACAUCUCGAACAGGAACGAAAGUUGGCGUUAGUGAUCCGGUGGUCCCGUAUGGAAGGGCCAUCGCUCAUUGGAUAAAAGGUACGCCGGGGAUAACAGGCUGAUCGCAUCCAAGAGUUCACAUCGACGAUGCGGUUUGGCACCUCGAUGUCGGCUCAUCACAUCCUGGGGCUGAAGCAGGUCCCAAGGGUACGGCUGUUCGCCGUUUAAAGUGGUACGCGAGCUGGGUUUAAAACGUCGUGAGACAGUUUGGUCCCUAUCUUCUGUGGGCGAAGGAGAAUUGAGAGGGCCUGUCCCUAGUACGAGAGGACCGGGAUGGACGCACCCCUGGUGAUCCUGUUGUCGCGCCAGCGGCAUAGCAGGGUAGCUAUGUGCGGAAGGGAUAACCGCUGAAAGCAUCUAAGCGGGAAGCCUGCCUCAAGAUAAGUUCUCCCCUCGAAAGAGCUGAAGGGCCCGGGUAGACUACCCGGUCGAUAGGCUGGAGGUGUAAGCGCGGCGACGUGCUCAGCUGACCAGUACUAAUAGCCCGAGCGGCUUAUUU
rnacentral:rRNA from 1 species